UACGUAGGGUGCAGGCGUUAAUCGGAAUUACUGGGCGUAAAGCGUGCGCAGGCGGUCUUUUAAGUCAGAUGUGAAAUCCCCGGGCUUAACCUGGGAACUGCGUUUGAAACUGGAAGGCUUGAGUGUGGCAGAGGGGGGUGGAAUUCCACGUGUAGCAGUGAAAUGCGUAGAGAUGUGGAGGAACACCGAUGGCGAAGGCAGCCCCCUGGGCUAACACUGACGCUCAUGCACGAAAGCGUGGGGAGCAAGCAGG
rnacentral:rRNA from 1 species